rnacentral:misc_RNA from 1 species
UGGUCGGCGACAAGAAAACGCCACUCGAUGAAGCCAAGGUGCUGCACGCGCUCGACGGACGGCUGGCGAAAUUCAAGAUGCCCAAGCGGGUGAUCUUCGUCGACGACCUGCCGCGCAAUACCAUGGGCAAGGUGCAGAAGAACGUGCUGCGCGACACCUAUGCCGGGAUCUACAAGAAAUGACGCGGCUGCAAAACAUGGUCCGGGCCGCCGCACGACACAUCGUAAAGGCUGAUGCCGUCAUGCCGAUCGUCCUUCGUCCGGCCUGCAACGAGGACUUCGCCUUUUGCGUCAAACUUAUGGCGAACAUCAUCCGGGACUUGAAGCUGGAUGUGACGCGGCAGGAGGAAAACCUGCGUCAUCUCUGGGAAGCCGAUCAGGUGCAGAUCGU